UACAGAGGGGGCAAGCGUUGUUCGGAAUUACUGGGCGUAAAGGGCGCGUAGGCGGCCUUCUAAGUCGAACGUGAAAUCCCCGGGCUCAACCCGGGAACUGCGUCCGAUACUGGAAGGCUUGAAUCCGGGAGAGGGAUGCGGAAUCCCAGGUGUAGCGGUGAAAUGCGUAGAUAUCUGGAGGAACACCGGUGGCGAAGGCGGCAUCCUGGACCGGCAUUGACGCUGAGGCGCGAAAGCCAGGGGAGCAAACGGG
rnacentral:rRNA from 1 species